rnacentral:lncRNA from 1 species
UAGAAAUCAUUUAAUCAUAAUUUCACACACAGAGACAGCCAAUCUAGUAUAGUCAUUAUACUAUUUUUACUAGUAUUUUUAAUCUAUUAUUUAUAAGAUUUGGUCUCUAUAUGUAGUUUUAGAUUUUAUUCUCCCACUGUUUUCACUUAAUGUUGUAAUAUAGAGAUUUUCUUACAUAAUAAAAAAUCUUCCAAAGUAUGAUUUUAAUUAUGAAAUAUUUUAUUAUGCAGACAUAGCACAAAUACCAAGAUUUAAAAUGUUUUACUUUAUAAACCAAAAGCAUAAAGG